CUAAUUGGUGAAGACCUGCAUUAUAUAAACAGCAGUUCAUACGAUGAUCCGAAUAUUUUUAUCACACGAAUAGAAAAUGAAAAUAUAUACAAAUUAGACAUCAAAAUCCAAUAAUAUUGUCGAAGUCGACAUUACAACGAAGCUCUCAACUUUCUUGAACAGAUGUCACUACUUAUGACUUAUACGAUCAUGUGACCUGACAUCCCACUGUCCAGUCGCCCCAAGUCUACUCGAUGGAAAGUAGCGAAGACGAAUUCUGAGCACGUCUCGCGAUGUUUCUCCCCGAGGAGGAACUCGAGGUUGUAGGACGUUACUCUGCGUCGGAUGUUGCAGCCAAAAGUUACAGUAACUGCAUUCUUCGACUUCAAUAGACUGGCUCGGCCAGAAUAUCCUGGAGCGGACUGAUGUCCUUCUCUAUCCAUGAAGCGCGGUUCUACCAAACGCAGCAAAAGUGACGCGGCCUUGGAUCCCGAUACGGACUGUGUUUGAAGCAGAACACCCUAAGGACAGCUGAGACCCGGGAUGAAAAGAGGGUCGAAGCGAGGUCGGUGGUGGGGGGGGAUCCGGCAUGGUUAAAACGUAGAAGGAAAGAGCAGCGACGCAGUGGGGAGGGUUCGGUGGGUGCAAAGCACGCCGGCGCCUCAGUAUCGUCGCGACCAUCGUGGGAGUCGGUUCGUGAGUGCGUCUCCAUUCGCGUCGCGGAACAAACGCUCGGCAAGACCGGAGCAUUCUCUUUGAUCCAGGUAAACUGGUACCCGUGUCGAGUCGUGGAUCCGAAGAUUCGUAACGAUGGUCCCGCGUUCGUUCGACGACGAGGGCUAGCCUUGCCCUUGAAACAAGAGUUUCGAGUGGCCGGCGCACGACGACGUUUCACCAGCUGUGCGCCGGACUCCGCGUGUGUGCUGUGCUCGGCGACGUUUUCUUUUCUCGCGUGCGAGCACCUCCCGUCGGUCGGUACUCGUGACAAAAGUAGACCGUCAUCGUGCAAUCAUUCUCUUAACGUGUCACUCAGCUUGUUUCGAUUUGGUGGUUAUUACUACGUAUUGUGAGAAUCCCACUUGGCGGCGGGGAUUGGAACAAAGGGACACGGAGGAGCCAGCGGUCGGUCGUGAGAGCAACAGAGGUGGGAGAGAGACAGCGUGGUGUAUCGAUCGAACUUCCAGUUGACAUUCGUCUGGCAAGUGGGAACAGAGUGGACUAUUCUGUAACCGUGAG